ensembl:snoRNA LOC120102702 small nucleolar RNA SNORA17
CCUGCCUCCCAAAGGCAUUGCAGGUAUGUCAUAUGAGUGUCAGUAGGAGGCAGAGAAGGGAAAGGCUAUGCAAAUGCUCAGCUCACCAACAUCCUGACCUAAGAACAUCUGAACUAUUAGUAGCCUAACAUU